AUUUCAACAACCAAACAAAAUAAUAAUUGUGAAACUAACCUUGUUUUUUGUGUAUGUGAAAAUGGGGAGAAAGUGUUCACAUUGUGGCUAUAUUGGUCAUAAUUCAAGAACUUGUAGCACUUUGAAUUGUGCUAUUAGUGGUAGUAAUUUUAUUGGUGGAUUAAGGCUUUUUGGAGUGCAACUUGAUAUUUCUAAUUCUUGUUUUUCUAGUCAUGAUAAUAAUUUGAAGAAAAGUUUUAGUUUGGAUUGUUUGUCUUUAACAAAUAGCCACUUAUUCUCUUCAUCUUCUUCUCCAUCUCUUAAUGAAAGUUGGGAAAAAAGUAGUACUACUUCUAUUGAUAAUAAUGGUUAUAUCUCUGAUGGUACUCUUGUAGGUUGUGUUGGUGAAAGGAAGAAAGGCGUUCCAUGGACAGAAGAGGAACAUAGAAGAUUCUUAAAUGGACUUGAAAAGUUAGGUAAAGGAGAUUGGAGAGGAAUUUCAAGAAAUUUUGUGACAACAAGGACUCCAACUCAAGUUGCAAGUCAUGCUCAAAAAUAUUUUCUAAGACAAUCAAGUCUCAACAAAAAGAAAAGACGUUCAAGUCUUUUUGAUAUGGCAAGGAGCAACAACAAAUAUGUAG